GACAGAGGGUGCAAACGUUGUUCGGAAUUACUGGGCGUAGAACGCGUGUAGGCGGCCAUCUAAGUCGGGCGUGAAAUCCCACGGCUCAACCGUGGAAGUGCACUCGAAACUGGAUGGCUAGAGUCCUGGAGAGGAAGGUGGAAUGCUUGGUGUAGAGGUGAAAUUCGUAGAUAUCAAGCGGAACACCGGUGGCGAAGGCGGCCUUCUGGACAGUGACUGACGCUGAGACGGCGAAAAGCGUGGGGAGCAAACAGG
rnacentral:rRNA from 1 species